rnacentral:rRNA from 1 species
GAUGAACGCUGGCGGCGUGCCUAAUACAUGCAAGUCGAGCGAACGGACGAGAAGCUUGCUUCUCUGAUGCUAGCGGCGGACGGGUGAGUAACACGUGGAUAACCUACCUAUAAGACUGGGAUAACUUCGGGAAACCGGAGCUAAUACCGGAUGAUAUUUUGAACCGCAUGGUUCAAUAGUGAAAGACGGUCUUGCUGUCACUUAUAGAUGGAUCCGCGCUGCAUUAGCUAGUUGGUAAGGUAACGGCUUACCAAGGCAACGAUGCAUAGCCGACCUGAGAGGGUGAUCGGCCACACUGGAACUGAGACACGGUCCAGACUCCUACGGGAGGCAGCAGUAGGGAAUCUUCCGCAAUGGGCGAAAGCCUGACGGAGCAACGCCGCGUGAGUGAUGAAGGUCUUCGGAUCGUAAAACUCUGUUAUUAGGGAAGAACAUAUGUGUAAGUAACUGUGCACAUCUUGACGGUACCUAAUCAGAAAGCCACGGCUAACUACGUG